AUUGAACGCUGGCGGAAUGCUUUACACAUGCAAGUCGAACGGCAGCACGGGGGCAACCCUGGUGGCGAGUGGCGAACGGGUGAGUAAUAUAUCGGAACGUGCCCAGUCGUGGGGGAUAACGUAGCGAAAGUUACGCUAAUACCGCAUACGAUCUACGGAUGAAAGCGGGGGAUCGCAAGACCUCGCGCGAUUGGAGCGGCCGAUAUCAGAUUAGGUAGUUGGUGGGGUAAAGGCUCACCAAGCCAACGAUCUGUAGCUGGUCUGAGAGGACGACCAGCCACACUGGGACUGAGACACGGCCCAGACUCCUACGGGAGGCAACAGUGGGGAAUUUUGGACAAUGGGCGCAAGCCUGAUCCAGCCAUUCCGCGUGCAGGACGAAGGCCUUCGGGUUGUAAACUGCUUUUGUACGGAACGAAAAAGCCUUGGCUAAUACCCAGGGUCCAUGACGGUACCGUAAGAAUAAGCACCGGCUAACUACGUGCCAGCCGCCGCAGUAA
rnacentral:rRNA from 1 species